CCAUGAAAAAUCCACUGUGCAGCGGUCUUCGAGAGGACGAGAGAGUCUGUCUAACUCUGUCUCACACUUCGUCCCCUCCAGUCUCAAAGGGACACACACGGGAAGUCGAAAAACAGACCCUGAGGUGCAUUAAGUUUGAAGAAUUGACAGAUGGAAUCUAACAGUGAUCCGGUGUGAAGGUGAGGCUCUGGAUGCCAGGAGCCGUUUGGGUUUUGUUAUUUUAGUUUUGGUUCGGGGGUUCCUUGGUAGUCCUGUUUUCGGUCUUUUCUUUUCAUUUAGGUAGUGGGUUUUAGGCAGGCUUAGUUUGGGAGUGGAUGCUGGGUGCGACGGCCGUUGGCUGGCUCAGUGUUCUCUCUCUCGUUUUGUUUGUUUUGGCCAGGAACCUCCAACCCUUUAGUUUUGUUGUUUUCUUGGGGAAUUAUUUCGUU